GAUGUGGUGACGGAACGGGAACGUGACGGAUUGCAACUCCGAUGCCUCCUUAGGGAGUGCGGGUUCAAAUCCCGCUCACAUCU
rnacentral:tRNA from 1 species